rnacentral:lncRNA from 1 species
UGCAAUGGAAAUUUUGCCAUUUUCCCUAAAAUUGGUGGUGUGAAGGCUGCUGCUCCAGGAAAACCCCACAGCUGGGGAUGGGCAACUCUACUCAAUGGGAUCUUCUUUGGUUUGAUAUUCCCAUUGUUUUCUCAAUUCUGGGAAGCCUAGUACAAUGGUACUAAUGUAAUCACCGAAGCCUUUUCUUAAAAUAAGGGAAGGGGCCAACCCUGGAUUAAAGUUACAAGUUCUGGGGACUUGGGGGGUUUGCAACAAACCCUAACAAUGGGUUUUGGUUCAUCAUGUAAAUGCAACUUUGGGGAGCCCUGGCUCCAGAGAGGGAGUCACUCUCCAGCAGUGGAACGCUGGGAUCGUUUGCUCUAGCGUGUUCCCUUGGGAAGUCUUGGUUUGCUGUUAAUCUGGCUGAGAAUCUAAGUUCUGUGCCUUAGAGACAAUUUGCACUUUCCCAAAUUGUGCCUGGGACAGCCAUAUGAUUUUUCCCA